rnacentral:rRNA from 1 species
GACGAACGCUGGCGGCGUGCUUAACACAUGCAAGUCGAACGAUGAAGCCCUUCGGGGUGGAUUAGUGGCGAACGGGUGAGUAACACGUGGGCAAUCUGCCCUUCACUCUGGGACAAGCCCUGGAAACGGGGUCUAAUACCGGAUAUGACACACGACCGCAUGGUCUGUGUGUGGAAAGCUCCGGCGGUGAAGGAUGAGCCCGCGGCCUAUCAGCUUGUUGGUGGGGUGAUGGCCUACCAAGGCGACGACGGGUAGCCGGCCUGAGAGGGCGACCGGCCACACUGGGACUGAGACACGGCCCAGACUCCUACGGGAGGCAGCAGUGGGGAAUAUUGCACAAUGGGCGAAAGCCUGAUGCAGCGACGCCGCGUGAGGGAUGACGGCCUUCGGGUUGUAAACCUCUUUCAGCAGGGAAGAAGCGAAAGUGACGGUACCUGCAGAAGAAGCGCCGGCUAACUACGUGC